AACCUUAUGGACCUGCGGGCGUAUACCUGCGGAAGGAUCAUUAACAAGAUCUAAAUGCUUUUUAGCCUUUGCAGGCUACAAAAGCUAUUCAACCAAAACCAUUUUCGCUUCGGUAGCAGGGUUUUAUAGUUUGAUGAGAAUCAUUCUACUUGCUUGUAAGCCUACCGGCAGCACCAAACCAAAACUUCUCGUUGAAUAUUGUCUGAAUAAUCAAUUUUCGAAUGAAAUUAAAACUUUCAG
rnacentral:misc_RNA from 1 species